rnacentral:rRNA from 1 species
CCGACCGGCGCACGGGUGCGUAACGCGUAUGCAACCUACCUUUAACAGGGGCAUAACACUGAGAAAUUGGUACUAAUACCCCAUAAUAUCAUAGAAGGCAUCUUUUAUGGUUGAAAAUUCCGAUGGUUAGAGAUGGGCAUGCGUUGUAUUAGCUAGUUGGUGGGGUAACGGCUCACCAAGGCGACGAUACAUAGGGGGACUGAGAGGUUAACCCCCCACACUGGUACUGAGACACGGACCAG